rnacentral:misc_RNA from 1 species
GAUGAAGAACGUAGCGAAAUGCGAUAAGUAAUGUGAAUUGCAGAAUUCAGUGAAUCAUCGAAUCUUUGAACGCACAUUGCGCCCCUUGGUAUUCCGAGGGGCAUGCCUGUUCGAGCGUCAUUACACCACUCAAGCUAUGCUUGGUAUUGGGUGUCGUCCUUAGUUGGGCGCGCCUUAAAGACCUCGGCGAGGCCUCCCCGGCUUUAGGCGUAGUAGAAUUUAUUCGAACGUCUGUCAAAGGAGAGGAACUCUGCCGACUGAAACCUUUGUUUUUACAGGUUGACCUCGGAUCAGGUAGGGAUACCCGCUGAACUUAAGCAUAUCAAUAGCGGAGGA